rnacentral:rRNA from 1 species
UACAGAGGUCCCAAGCGUUGUUCGGAUUCACUGGGCGUAAAGGGUGCGUAGGUGGCUAGGUAAGUCUGAUGUGAAAUCUCCGAGCCUAACUCGGAAACUGCAUUGGAUACUACUUGGCUGGAGGGUUGGAGGGGGGACUGGAAUACUUGGUGUAGCAGUGAAAUGCGUAGAUAUCAAGUGGAACACCAGUGGCGAAGGCGAGUCCCUGGACAACUCCUGACACUGAGGCACGAAAGCUAGGGGAGCAAACAGG